GAGCGCGGGAACGCCGCCCGCAGCGCCCGGAGGCCGCGGCCCGCAGCUGCGGGAAACGGGGCUCGGGACAAGUGACAGCUGUCAAGAGGAGGGUGCCAGACUCAGAAUUCUCAGUGAUGCCCAGUGACAGGAUGAGGAGCAAUGGCCACAAACGAAACCAAAGCACAAGGAGUUUCACCUAUCAAGAGGAAGAACUUCCUUACACAGAGCGUGGCAGAGCACUGGAACAGGCUGCCCAGGAAGGUUAUUUUCCUCUUUUUUUUUUUCCUUUCCAGUUGGAUGGAACACCAAAUUGGCAGCAAUGAGGAAAGUGUUUCUGGGUGGUAUUAAAGAAAAAAACAAAACCAAACAAUGCCCCAAAACCAACAACAACAACCAAACAAACAAAAAACAAACAACAAAAAACCAAAAACAAACAAAAAAAAGUAGGAAAAGGAUGGAACUCUGGUAGCAAAAAGGAUCCAGAAACAAAAUAUUUAAUAUUUACAGUAAAUGAGUGGUGUAGAAGAUUACAAGGAGGAGCAGCACAGCUCUUAACUCAGUGGUGGCUGUGGAGAUACACAAGAGCUAAACUGUAACUUUUAUUUGUGUGUAACUAAUCAGAGCAUGGAGGACAGAACUGUAAAUAACAGAACUCUCGUAUGAAAACCUAAUUAGUUCAUAAAUUAGCACUUUGGUUUCUGAGUAGUCUGUUGCAUCAGUCACAUUCACAUCUCCCAUCUGCAGCCUGAAGAGCAGGACCUGGCCCAGAACAAAGUCCUGAAGCUCCUGGUUUGGUUAACAGCUCAAGGUCCCAAGGGUGGUGCCCCUCAGGGCUCCAUACUGGGACCAGUAUGAACUUCUCUGGGAAACCUGUAAAGAAUUUCUUCCCAAUACCCAAUCUAUCCCUGCCCUGAUCAGUUUAAAGCCAUUGCCCCUUGUCCUGUUGGUCCAUGCCCUUAUCCAAAGUCCCUUCCCAGCUCCUCUGGAGCCCCUUCAGAUGCUGAAAGGUCUCGCUGGGACCUUCUCUUCUCCAGGCUGAACAAAACUCUCAGGCUGUGUCCAAGCAGAGGUGCCCCAGCCCUCUGACAUUUACAUUUCUAUACACACACUGUGCAUUCUGAAUAACCUCUGUAGUGACUCACCUAAUUACAUCAGUUAAUUUUAAAAAUUCAACAUCUGCAGUGGCACUACAACGUUCAAAUAAGAGAGAUCAGUGUUCCAGCUGUGUGAUGCAGAGGUUAUUCCACUUUCCUCCUUCAGCCCACAAUACAAUGUACCUCUCAAAGUAGGGAUCUCACUUCAUUUUCAAAGACAGGGUGAAGUCAGAAAAUCUCUUCCACUCUUCAAAAGAAACAUCCACUCACGUGUUUCACGUGGCAAAUUAAAAGUGUAGAGCACAGACUUUUAAAAAACAAAGUUUCAAAGCACACCCAAGCCCAGCCCAGAUAUUUUAGACUCCCAAGAGCAUUUGCUUCACAGACAACCAAAAAGAUGUGUUUCAUGGAGGUGGUUUAUUUUAAGAAUUUACAGAUUUCUGGGGCUUUUCCACUUCUUCACAAGAUAACAGAGCAGUCUUGUUAACACAGACACAGGCAGGCUAAACCACAUAUGCUCAGAAGAGCUCCUCUUCA